GUGCUUGCUUUGGCAGCACAUAUACUAAAAUUGGAAGGAUACAGAGAAGAUUAGCAUGGCCCCUGCACAAGGAUGACAUGCAAAUUUGGGAAGCAUUUCCUAUUUUU
rnacentral:snRNA from 1 species